UUUAAGCAUAUCACUCAGUGGAGGAAUCACAAGCAACUGCGAUUGCUUCAGUAACGGCGAGUGAACUGGCAGAAUGUGUCUCAGCCUGAAAGUGGAUCCAACUGCACUGCAAUGUGCAACCGGCUCUUGUGAGAUUCAACAGAUGCUGUGGGUUGUGGAGCGGUCGGCUGUGCCUUGGUCAGGCCAUGCACCACGAAGGUCCCUGGAAUGGGCCGCGACAUAGGGAUACUGUCCUGUAUGGUGCUGUGUGCUGGACUGGCCCUGGUGUGGCUGGCUGCAUCCUGGAGUAGAGUUGCUUGGGACUGCAGUUUGAAGUGCGACGUGUAUCCGUCGCAAGGAGAAACACUGACAUGGGACCGAUAGCGCACAAGUAGAGUGAUUGAAGGAUGCAAAGGACCUUGCAAAGGGGGUUAAAAGUCCCUGAAGCCUCGACAGGAACGGCGGAGAUUGGUGCUGUGAUGGGCUUUGUGGUCAGAUUGGACCUCUGGACCCAGGUGUGUUCGACGCUGGUCGUCGUUCCCCUGGGCCAGUUCAGGCUCCAGGCCACGGUGAUCCCUCGCGAGGGUGAACCAGAUUGGAUUCCAAGCAACCUUGGGCUGGCCCGGGGCUGGCCGAUGAGCUCCGUCCUGAAAGGUGGAAUGUAUCUUGGCAGUUUCGCGGUGGCAAGCAGCUUGCCUGAGCCUGAGGGUAGCAGAUCAGAGAACAGAAGUUAUAUCACUCAGAAAACACCCAGUUUGGGAGCGACCUCUGUCGAGGCUUUGUGUCUGAUUGUGAGCGAGAUCGGUGUGCCUGACCUGGUUUGUCUGUGGACAUUCCAGCGACCAUGCCUGGCCAUGGCAUGGAUGCUGGCGGCUGUAUGGUGGCUGCACCAUUCUGAUGGUGGCUCCUGUGUGGCUGCUGGCUCCCCAGACGGUGCAUGGAUCGGAAGGCAGUUGAGCUUGGUCUAGCAGGGCCACUCUCUGCCCGUCUUGAAACACGGACCAAGGAGUCUAUGGAGCUUGGAUAUCUGAUGGUGUGAUCAACAAACCACAGGAUGUGGUGAAGGCAACAUUCCCAGAUGGUGCAUUCCUUGUUUGUGUGUGGCUGGCAAAGGGGGCACAACAUGGCAAACCCACCGUGGCAUGUGGCAGGUCUGUGCCCAGCUUGGGAAGCCUGUUCCUCCGACCGAGAAUGAUUCUGUCUGCUCGGUGUGCCAGAAGGAGAGAGACGACGAUGAAUGCCGUUUGCUGCAUGGGACACCAGUCCCGAAGUCCAGUGGACAGGGUUCUGAGUGCUUACAAGGUCCAUGGGACCCGAAAGGUGGUGAACUAUACCAUGCUAUGGUGAAGCUGUGGGAAACUGCAGUGGAGGCCAGCAGCUGUUCUGACGUGCAAAUUGUGUAGCCUGAGCGUGGCAUAGGGGUGAAAGGCCAAUCGAGCCACCUAGUAGCUGGUUCCCUUCGAAGUUUCCCUCAGGAUAGCCAGGUUCGAAUGCAGAGCUGAUUCAAGUGGUUGUGUCCGGUAAAGCAACGCAUGAGAGGCCAUCUGUGGGCAGGACUUCCUGCUCACCCUAUUCUCGAACUGUGAAUGGGCACGGCAACACCCAUCAAGGCAUGCUUCUUCACUGAGCCUGAGUCGGUAUCAAAGCCGUUCUGAGGGAUUCUGAGCGUGUUUUUAGAGGUGGCAGCUCCACCCAGGGCCAUGGGCCCUCCUGUGUGUGGUCUCUGUGACGCCACAAGAGUGAGCCCUGAGCCAUCGUCGUCAUUCUGACAAGAGUUGCUGCCAACAGCUGAACAGAUGUGCCUAUGUGGACCAGGAUUGGUAAGCAGUGCUGGUGAUGCGGGAUGCUCCGAGAGUGAACUUACAGGACCAGAGUGCUGGCUCAUACACAGAUCCCACAAAGGAUGUUGCCUGCUAGGGAUAGCAGGACGGUGGCCAUGAAGGUUGGAACCCGCUAAGGAAUGUGUAACAACUCACCUGCCGAAGCAAGCAGCUCCGAAAAUGGAUGGUGCCCAAGUCAGUGAAGCUACAAUUGCCUUACAGUUCACCGCUGCUGUGGCAGCAUUGCAGAGCAUCAGCGUGUAGAAGGGUCAUUGGAGAUUGUUCCCAAGGUUGGGCUUGAGUCCAGCCGACGUGUCUUCUGGCGCAGAUCUUGGUUGCAGUAGCGAAUACUCCAUCUGAUGAAGAGCAGAACAAUCAUGCUGUGUGCGGUUGAGGACAGGAGUGGAGCAGGUUUUCACAUCUAACAGCCGUUGAAUGUGGGUCAGCCGACCGUGAGCCAAGUGGUAAUUCACCAGACAACCAAAGCUGUCGUUCUCUCUGGCGGAGGAAGCAGACAGGGUCUGUCGGACACUAGGGCCGUGUCGCCCUCGGACAGUGGCCGUCACAACCGGUGUCUUCUCUCUGAACCUUGUGUGUGGCAGGACUGGCAAACAGGCAAGCAAGUGCAACAUUCUGCUGUGAUGGGCCUGGGGAGCUCUCGGAUGGCAGCAUCCAUGAUGGUGGCAAGCAGGACUUGGGGCAGUGCCGCCCCUGAGGAGUUAUCGUUUCCUUCUGAUUCAUCACCCCUGGAACGGGGCACUGAUUGGCAUGACAGAUGAUGGUGUGGCUCGCUGCUCAGCAUGACAAUGCAAACUCUGCGUUGAUGGAUCUGUGUUUGUCUGACAUUCCUAUGGAAACCACAGGGUUCGCCCUGCAAAAGGACAUGAUCGGUUGGCACUGCCUCCACUGAAACUCCUGUGGGACUUGGUCCCCUGAUCCCUGGUUCUCGUACUGAAUCACCGCAGCCGGUCUCCUCGACUGGAAGUCGCUUGUCCACGGACUGAAUGCAGCUAAGGGAAGUCGGCAAACUGGCCAUGUACCUUCGGAAGAUGUGGUGGCUCCAGAAGUCAGGCCGCAGGGCCCAGCUGUGGGCAGUGUGUUGUGGUGGCUCGGCCGCCCUGGCUAGUGGUCUCGGCCAUUGGUCCAGGGAUUGGCUGCCACUGCACUGCUGCCACGCGGUUGGGGACCGCCUGGUCCAACAAAGUUGGCCGAUGGUCCAUCCUUGUGGCCACAUAGUGGCUCAUGUGGAACUGAUGCUGUGCAAGGGAAUCUGACUGUUUAAUUGAAACCCAGCUUUGUGAAGGGAUCAGCUGGCUGGUCCCAUGAGGUGACUUCUGCCCAGUGCUCUGAUUGUCAAUGCGAAGAGAUUCAGCCAAGCGCGGGUAAACGGCGGGAGUAACUAUGACUCUCUUAAGGUAGCCAAAUGCCUCGUCAACCAAUUAUUGACGCGCAUGAAUGGAUCAACGAGAUUCCUGCUGUCCCUAGUUGCCGUCUGGUGAACCAACAGCCAAGGGAACGGGCUUGGAUGUGUCAGCGGGGAAAGAA
rnacentral:rRNA from 1 species